rnacentral:pre_miRNA from 1 species
UUGGGUUAAAUCAAUGUGGGUUAUACAUUUUGGAAAUGGAAUCCAUAUAAAGUGGUGGGACAUAUAUUGAUUUUAUCUAA